UCCUCCUCCAGCGCCUUUCUUUUUUUUUUGUCCCUCUCCACACCGCCUUUCUUCUUCUUUUUACCACGUUCGAAGUCCAUUAUCCUCACUUGCACCGCUCGCUAGCUACAGCAGACGGCACCUGACAUACGUAACACACCCCUUCCUCCACACGUGCUCUGUGUGGUUGAUACGGACUGUGGGGGCGGGUGUUAAUUGAUAUAAACCAAUCGUCUCUCC